rnacentral:rRNA from 1 species
CCUACGGGUGGCAGCAGUGAGGAAUAUUGGUCAAUGGACGAGAGUCUGAACCAGCCAAGUAGCGUGAAGGAUGACUGCUCUAUGGGUUGUAAACUUCUUUUAUAAAGGAAUAAAACGAGGCACGUGUGCCUUUUUGCAUGUACUUUAUGAAUAAGGAUCGGCUAACUCCGUGCCAGCAGCCGCGGUAAUACGGAGGAUCCGAGCGUUAUCCGGAUUUAGUGGGUUUAAGGGGAGCGUAGAUGGGUUGUUAAGUCAGAUGUGAAAGUCUGCGGCUCAACCGUAAAAUUGCAAUUGAUACUGGAAGUCUUGAGUACUGUUGAGGUAGGCGGAAUUCGUAGUGUAGCGGUGAAAUGCUUAGAUAUCACGAAGAACCCCGAUUGCGAAGGCAGCUUACUAAACUGUGACUGACAUUGAUGCUCGAAAGUGUGGGUAUCAAACAGGAUUAGAUACCCGUGUAGUC